rnacentral:rRNA from 1 species
GGAAUAUUGCACAAUGGGGGAAACCCUGAUGCAGCAACGCCGCGUGAGUGAAGAAGUCAUUCGUGAUGUAAAGCUCUAUCAGCAGGGAAGAAAAUGACGGUACCUGACUAAGAAGCCCCGGCUAACUACGUGCCAGCAGCCGCGGUAAUACGUAGGGGGCAAGCGUUAUCCGGGUUUACUGGGUGUAAAGGGAGCGUAGACGGCAGCGCAAGUCUGGAGUGAAAUGCCGGGGCCCAGCCCCGGAACUGCUUUGGAAACUGUGCAGCUCGAGUGCAGGAGAGGUAAGCGGAAUUCCUAGUGUAGCGGUGAAAUGCGUAGAUAUUAGGAGGAACACCAGUGGCGAAGGCGGCUUACUGGACUGUAACUGACGUUGAGGCUCGAAAGCGUGGGGAGCAAACA